AUAAGGAGUCGGACCUGCCCAGUGAAAUAUUUUUAACGGCCGCGGUACUCUGACCGUGCAAAGGUAGCAUAAUCAUUUGCCCUAUAAUUGAGGGCUAGUAUGAAUGGUUUGACAAGAAUAAAGCUGUCUCCGUGUAAUUAUAUAGAAUUUUAUUUUUAGGUGAAGAAGCCUGAAUUAUAUUAAAAGACAAGAAGACCCUAUCGAGCUUUAAAGAAAUUAAUAAAGUAAUAAUAAAUAUUAAUUAAAAUAAAUUUUAUUAAAAAUUUUGGUUGGGGCGACAAAGGAACAGUUAAAGCUUCUUUUCGAAUAACAAGACCUACAGGUAAUUGAUCCAGAAUAAUUCUGAUUAAAGAAAUUAGUUACCGUAGGGAUAACAGCAUUAUCUUUUUUGAGAGCUCAUAUCGAAAAAAAGGUUUGUGACCUCGAUGUUGGACCAGGAUAUCCAGAAGAUGCAGAAGUCUUCAAGGGUUGGUCUGUUCGACCAUUAAAAUCCUA
rnacentral:rRNA from 1 species